AACGAACGCUGGCGGCAUGCCUAACACAUGCAAGUCGAACGACACCUUCGGGUCUAGUUGCGCACGGGUGCGUCACGCGUCGGACGCUUCACUUAGGCUCGGAAUACCUCCCCUUCAGGGGUGCUAAUACCGGAUAAAGUCUUCGGACCCAAGAUUUAUCGCCUUUGGAUGGGCCCGCGUUGGACUAGCUAGUUGGUAGGGUAAAAGCCUACCAAGGCGACGAUCCAUAGCUGGUCUGAGAGGAUGAUCAGCCACACUGGGACUGAGACACGGCCCAGACUCCUACGGGAGGCAGCAGUGGGGAAUAUUGGACAAUGGGCGAAAGCCUGAUCCAGCAAUGCUGCGUGAGUGAUGAAGGCCUUAGGGUUGUAAAGCUCGUUUACCCGGGAUGAUAAUGACGGUACCGGAAGAAUAAGCUCCGGCUAACUCCGUG
rnacentral:rRNA from 1 species